rnacentral:rRNA from 1 species
GACGAACGCUGGCGGCGUGCUUAACACAUGCAAGUCGAACGGUAAGGCCCUUCGGGGUACACGAGUGGCGAACGGGUGAGUAACACGUGGGUGAUCUGCCCUGCACUUCGGGAUAAGCCUGGGAAACUGGGUCUAAUACCGGAUAGGACCACUGCCUGCAUGGGUGGUGGUGGAAAGCUUUUGCGGUGUGGGAUGGGCCCGCGGCCUAUCAGCUUGUUGGUGGGGUGAUGGCCUACCAAGGCGACGACGGGUAGCCGGCCUGAGAGGGUGACCGGCCAGACUGGGCCUGAGAUACGGCCCAGACUCCUAGGGGAGGCAGCAGUGGGGAAUAUUGCACAAUGGGCGCAAGCCUGAUGCGGCGACGCCGCGUGAGGGAUGACGGCCUUCGGGUUGUAAACCUCUUUCAGCACCGACGAAGCGCAAGUGACGGUAGGUGCAGAAGAAGGACCGGCCAACUACGUGCCAGCCGCCGCCGUAA